GGAGCUAUGACGUGCCUUGGCGAACGCUGAAAAAGUAACGUUUUCGUUUUCCUAAACCGUAGGUCGCAUGUUCGAGUCAUGCCGGGAUCGCCA
rnacentral:tRNA from 2 species